rnacentral:rRNA from 1 species
CCUACGGGAGGCAGCAGUGGGGGAUAUUGCACAAUGGGGGCAACCCUGAUGCAGCGACGCCGCGUGGGCGAAGAAGUAUUUCGGUAUGUAAAGCCCUAUCAGCAGGGAGGAAGACAUGACGGUACCUGGGUAAGAAGCACCGGCUAAAUACGUGCCAGCAGACGGGGUAAUACGUAGGGUGCAAGCGUGAUCCGGAAUUACUGGGGGUAAAGGGAGGGAAGGCGGGACGGCAAGGCUGAGGUGAAAGCCCGCGGCCCAACCGCGGGAUUGCAUUGGGAACUACCGGGCUGGAGUGCCGGAGAGGGAGGCGGAAUUCCUAGUGUAGCGGUGAAAUGCGUAGAUAUGAGGAGGAACACCAGUGGCGAAGGCGGCCUAUUGGACGGUGACUGACGCUGAGGUGCGAAAGCGUGGGGAGCAAACAGGAUUAGAUACCCCUGUAGUC